GGAUUGUAGCUCAGUGGUAGAGCACAUGCCUAGCACAUGUUUGGCACUGGGUUCAAUACUCAGCACCA
rnacentral:tRNA from 1 species